AAUCACCAGCAAGGCCGAUUGCCACCGUUGCUCGGACUUAGCGCGGGGCCUCCUCCACCGCGUGAUGCGGAUGCGCUGCGGAGAGCCGGGCCGAGGGCGUCGUCGCCGCCGCGCUUUGCGUCUCGUGGCCUGCCACCAUGCGGUCUGAGGACCACGCCGCUGGCGUCCGGGAGAGGCUCUAGCCUGCCUCGCUGUAGAUGAGGUCGAGCCAUGGUUGUCGGGCGUCGCAUGGUCGUCGCUGGUACGCAGGAAGUCGCCACCUCCGUGCCCGCUGGUCGCCACAGCAGGAGCGGAGCGGGUGGAGACGCGGGGCCCAAGGACCUCGCCGCCACGCCUUGUCGUCGUUGGUGAGGAAAUAUGCAGUUCUUUCUCCUGUACUUCUUGUUUGCGAUUCACAAAAUACAAGUAGUUAUUAGAUCUUGGAUUGAUUGCAAGAAAACAAAGACAAAUUGAACAAUGUCCUGAUCCAGUUUUCCUCAAGAUUGCCGGAGUUGCUUGGUGCCGUUCGUCGCUUGAGGCCGACGGGUAGCGCGGGUAGGGCCAAGCAUGAGGGUGGCAUCGCAGGUGGGCUGUCGGGCAGUCCGUGGUGUGCCACGGAUAGGCAUAUGAGGACUCCGUCGCCGGGCGAGCGUCGCAAGCUGGCCAUUUUGCCUCCAGAUGCGGGAGAAGUGCCCUCGGCGCCUUGCCGCCGUUAAGACGCCUCCCCAUCGUUUUCUUCUUGUUCCGUGUGGCUAUUUCUCAGCAGAGAGCAAAAGUGCGUGAUAACGUGUUUUGAGUGAAAAGUAAAGAACAGGAGAGUUUGAAUGAAAGAUGAUCCAUCAGUCUUUAUUGAUGAUAGAAGUGGGGUAUUUAUACCCGGGCAGAAGUACACAUGUUACUUGAGAGUCAAGUAAACUCAAAGUUACUUGAGAGCCAAGAAAUUACAUAGUUGCCUUGAGAGCCAAGGAAGUAUAUGGUUGCUUGAGAACCAAGCAACCUAUCUAACAAUUAACUUAAUCCUAUUAACUUAAUUAAUAAUCAACUAUUCUAUUCUUAACAGAUUUUUGGCAAAAGCUCGUUUGUGCUCCGGGUUAGCUGACAUGGCACAAAUUGUGGCUUAAUCAGAUGCCACGUUGGACUAUAGUUGGCCCCCUUUCAAUGUUCAAUUUAGUUGCGACGGGGGUAGCAAAUCAGAACUACCGGAGGGGAGAAAAAAUAGGGUUCAAGGACGGGCGGCGGCGGUGGCGGUUCAGGGAAGGUAGGCAAGCGCCGCCUGAGCAAACAACGAUGGCUUCUCCUUCCCCUCCUUCUCCUCCUCCUCCGGUUGAGUACUCCCUCCGAUUCGACGUACUCAGGCAGAGGACGCCGUCGCAAGGCAGUAUCUAGGUCGCCGGUGCCCGGAGAACCCGAUGGCAUACCCGCCGGCGAGGGAAGGCUACUGCAUGUCGCGAAAGAAGCCUCCCCGCUGGAUAUCUUGGAGCGACGAGAAUCCUGGAAUUAAUGAAGGUUGUAGGUAUUUUGCGUGGCAUGAUGAUCCCCACUUCUUCGGCAAGUACUUGAUGUUAGAUAUGCAAUGAGGAGGAUGAGUGUUGAAGUGAUCGACAUGCAUGGCUAGAACAGGGGCAGAGAAAUGGAGCAGAGAUUGUAUUGAGGCAACAAGUUCUGGAAAAGAAUGAAGAAAUUAAUUCAACAAGAGCUAGAUGCGAAAGGAUGGAGAGAAAUGAAAUGCAUAAUUGUGUGUUUUUAUGGCAUUAUCAUGUUAGUAGUUGUAUGUUUGUAGGAAUUGUGCUAGGUAGAGGAUCAUUGUAAUGGCUAGAUGAUGUGAUGGCUUGAUGAUGAACUGGUCUGUUUAUGUGAUGUAUGGUCAUUGUACUCAAUUUAUGAAAAUUAUGAAUGGAACUUCACAGUUUGUUUGGCAAA